GCCAAGAAAAGUAUUGGUAGGUUAAUAAGUUAAUACUGGUGAAUCAAGUAGCCCAGAAAAGUAUUGGUAGGUUCAUAAGUUAAUACUGGUGAAUCAAGUAGCCCAGAAAAGUAUUGGUAGGUUCAUAAGUUAAUACUGGUGAAUCAAGUAGCCCAGAAAAGUAUUGGUAGGUUCAUAAGUUAAUACUGGUGAAUCAAGUAGCCCAGAAAAGUAUUGGUAGGUUCAUAAGUUAAUACUGGUGAAUCAAGUAGCCCAGAAAAGUAUUGGUAGGUUCAUAAGUUAAUACUGGUGAAUCAAGUAGCCCAGAAAAGUAUUGGUAGGUUCAUAAGUUAAUACUGGUGAAUCAAGUAGCCCAGAAAAGUAUUGGUAUGUUACCUGAUUGGCAUGAUAUGAAUAAAAUAAUGUUUAAAAUAGCAAACAACUUUCAUACAUAGUUUUUAUGAUAAGUUUUAGUGUACAUUUCAAAAUUACAAAUAUGAUUAUAUGUUAUUUCAGAGUAAA